AUGUCCAGAUUAAGAAAUUGUCAUAAAGUGGGCGGCGCGCGGCCCUUAGGCCGCCCUCCAGCCCAUUUUCUGCUCCUCGCGCGCGGCCGAAAAACCCGCCACGACCCGCCGGCCAAGUCCAAGAUCGGGCACGUGGCGACCCCUCCCGCCGUGGAUCCUGCGGAAUUCUUCGUGCUGACGGAGCGUUACCAGCAGUACCGCCAGACGGUGCGCGCCCUCAGGCAGGAGUUCGUGACCGAGGUACGCAGGAAAGCGCACGAGGCCCGGGCUGGUGUCCUGGCAGAGCGCAAGGCGCUGCAGGAUGCCGCUGAGCACCGCGAGCUGAUGGCCUGGAACCAGGCGGAGAACCAGCGGCUGCAUGAGCUGCGGAUGGCCAGGCUGCGGCAGGAGGCACGGGAGCAGGAGCGGCGGCAAGCGGAGGAGGCGGCCCUGGAAGCCCGAGAGGUGGAGGCCUGGGCCCAGCUCAAGGAGCGGGAAGUGCUGCAGCUGCAGGAGGACGCAAAAAACUUCAUCACCCGAGAGAAUCUGGAGGCACGGGUGGAAGAAGCUUUGGAUUCCCCCAAGAGCUACAAUUGGGCUAUCACCAGAGAGGGGCUGGUGGUCAAGCCACAGCACAAGGGCUCCUGAGGUCCCAAUGAGGACAAUACCCACCCAGGGACCAUGGAAGUAAAGGGGUUGGGUCUGAUCUGAAAUAAAGCAGUUGGUGUUUCUGAUGAAGGAAAA